AUAAGAUCAACCUCGAAGCUCAGCCCUCUGUUUUCUUUCAUGCCCACACAUCUAGGCAAAUAGAGUACCCAUUUAACAACCUCAAACAGUGAGUCUCUGUGUAGAUGAAAAAUGGGAGUCCAGAGUGGGCAGCCUAUUUGCAGGCAAAGGGCCAGGAAACCGUUGCUGUGAUUACUCAAAAGAGCCCAACUCAAGAACACUGCUCAUGAAUUCUUGAUGGUGGAACCAGGGGUCUACAAACUUUUAAGAGAAACAUCAAGUGGUGUCCACAGCUAGCUGACUAUUCACAUGAAGACUGAUGAAGAAUAUAUUUCAUUUUAAAUACAUGUCAUUUCACAAGUUCUAUGAUUAAAUAUUUACACUAGCUUUCCUCAGUCAAAAAUAAAUGAACCGAAUGAACUUCUGUUUGAUCCUCUCUUCCACAGGAUAAAUUUCCCUUUCUCUAGUACUUUUAGAGAGCGUAUUUUGGCAAGGGUGUGUUGAGGAGUGGGGCAGAUGUUGGGAUGGGGAACACUUGCUUUGUUCCAAGAGCAGCCAUAUUCUGGCCUUUGGCAAUUUUAGCAAUCCGCAGUCCUGCCCACCUUCCGGAAGCCUGGGCACCUGGGCACCCAGCUCCAGGGGGAUUAGCUUUCACUACACUGGACUCCUCAA